rnacentral:rRNA from 1 species
AACGAACGCUGGCGGCGUGCCUAACACAUGCAAGUCGAGCCGCGAAUGGAGCAAUCCUAGUAGAGCGGCGCACGGGUGCGUAACACGUGGGUAAUCUGCCUCAAAGCCCGGGAUAACCUGGCCGAAAGGCAAGCUAAUACCGGAUAAGCCUACGGACUCUUCGGGGUCUGAAGGAAAAGGUGCCUCUGUAUACAAGCUAUCACUUUGAGAUGAGCCCGCGGCCCANCAGCUCCGUUGGCGGGUAACGGCCCACAAGGCAACGACGGUAGCUGGUCUGAGAGGACGAUCAGCCACACUGGAACUGAGACACGGUCCAGACUCCUACGGGAGGCAGCAGUGGGGAAUUUUGCGCAAUGGGCCGAAAAGCCUGACGCAGCAACGCCGCGUGUGUG